rnacentral:tRNA from 1 species
GUUUAAAUAGCUUAUAUUAAAAGUAUUUCUUUGAAGAUGAAAUGAUGAUUUUUUUUUAAUCUUUAAACA